UGGGGAAUAUCGGACAAUGGGCGAAAGCCUGAUCCAGCCAUGCCACGUGUGUGAAGAAGGUCUUCGGAUUGUAAAGCACUUUAAGUUGGGAGGAAGGGCAGUAAGCGAAUACCUUGCUGUUUUGACGUUACCGACAGAAUAAGCACCGGCUAACUCUGUGCCAGCAGCCGCGGUAAUACAGAGGGUGCAAGCGUUAAUCGGAAUUACUGGGCGUAAAGCGCGCGUAGGUGGUUCGUUAAGUUGAAUGUGAAAGCCCCGGGCUCAACCUGGGAACUGCAUCCAAAACUGGCGAGCUAGAGUAGGGCAGAGGGUGGUGGAAUUUCCUGUGUAGCGGUGAAAUGCGUAGAUAUAGGAAUGAACACCAGUGGCGAAGGCGACCACCUGGGCUCAUACUGACACUGAGGUGCGAAAGCGUGGGGAGCAAACAGG
rnacentral:rRNA from 1 species